CCCAUUUUUUUUUCAAAGGGCAUGCGCAGCUACACAUGCAAGUCGAACGGUAGCACAGAGAGCUUGCUCUCGGGUGACGAGUGGCGGACGGGUGAGUAAUGUCUGGGAAACUGCCUGAUGGAGGGGGAUAACUACUGGAAACGGUAGCUAAUACCGCAUAACGUCGCAAGACCAAAGAGGGGGACCUUCGGGCCUCUUGCCAUCAGAUGUGCCCAGAUGGGAUUAGCUAGUAGGUGGGGUAACGGCUCACCUAGGCGACGAUCCCUAGCUGGUCUGAGAGGAUGACCAGCCACACUGGAACUGAGACACGGUCCAGACUCCUACGGGAGGCAGCAGUGGGGAAUAUUGCACAAUGGGCGCAAGCCUGAUGCAGCCAUGCCGCGUGUAUGAAGAAGGCCUUCGGGUUGUAAAGUACUUUCAGCGGGGAGGAAGGUGUUGAGGUUAAUAACCUCAGCAAUUGACGUUACCCGCAGAACAAGCACCGGCUAACUCCGUGCCAGCAGCCGCGGUAAUACGGAGGGUGCAAGCGUUAAUCGGAACUACUGGGCGUAAAGCGCACGCAGGCGGUCUGUCAAGUCGGAUGUGAAAUCCCCGGGCUCAACCUGGGAACUGCAUUCAUAACUGGCAGGCUAGAGUCUUGUCAAGG
rnacentral:rRNA from 1 species